rnacentral:rRNA from 1 species
AAUAAACGCUGGCGGCGUGCCUAACACAUGCAAGUCGAGCGAGAAAGCUCCUUCGGGAGUUAGUAAAGCGGCGAACGGGUGAGCAACACGUGAGAAUCUACCCUUUAGUGAAGAAUACCCUCGAGAAAUCGAGGCUAAUACUGCAUACGUCCCUUCGGGGAGAAAGAUGGCCUCUUUGCUAUCGCUAAAGGAUGAGCUUGCGUACUAUUAGCUAGUUGGCGGGGUAAAGGCCCACCAAGGCAAUGAUGGUUAACCGGCCUGAGAGGGUGUACGGUCACACUGGAACUUAGACACGGUCCAGACUCCUACGGGAGGCAGCAGUGAGGAAUCUUGCGCAAUGGGCGAAAGCCUGACGCAGCGACGCCGCGUGGAGGAUGACGGUUUUCGGAUUGUAAACUCCUGUUAAGCGGGAAGAAAGCCUUGUUUCUAAUACAAGCAAGGUAUGACGGUACCGCUAGAGAAAGCACCGGCUAACUUCGUGCCAGCAGCCGCGGUAAUG